rnacentral:rRNA from 1 species
UACGUAGGGGGCUAGCGUUGUUCGGAAUCACUGGGCGUAAAGGGCGCGUAGGCGGCUUUAUAAGUCGGGGGUGAAAGCCUGUGGCUCAACCACAGAAUUGCCUUCGAUACUGUAGAGCUUGAGACCGGAAGAGGUAAGUGGAACUGCGAGUGUAGAGGUGAAAUUCGUAGAUAUUCGCAAGAACACCAGUGGCGAAGGCGGCUUACUGGUCCGGUACUGACGCUGAGGUGCGAAAGCGUGGGGAGCAAACAGG